AUUGAACGCUAGCGGGAUGCUUUACACAUGCAAGUCGAACGGCAGCGCGGACUUCGGUCUGGCGGCGAGUGGCGAACGGGUGAGUAAUGUAUCGGAACGUGCCCGGUAGCGGGGGAUAACUACGCGAAAGCGUAGCUAAUACCGCAUACGCCCUACGGGGGAAAGCAGGGGAUCGUAAGACCUUGCACUAUUGGAGCGGCCGAUAUCGGAUUAGCUAGUUGGUGAGGUAACGGCUCACCAAGGCGACGAUCCGUAGCUGGUUUGAGAGGACGACCAGCCACACUGGGACUGAGAGACGGCCCAGACUCCUACGGGAAGCAGCAGUGGGGAAUUUUGGACAAUGGGGGCAACCCUGAUCCAGCCAUCCCGCGUGUGCGAUGAAGGCCUUCGGGUUGUAAAGCACUUUUGGCAGGAAAGAAACGGCGCGGGCUAAUACCCCGUGGAACUGACGGUACCUGCAGAAUAAGCACCGGCUAACUACGUG
rnacentral:rRNA from 1 species